UACGGAGGAUGCAAGCGUUAUCCGGAAUGAUUGGGCGUAAAGCGUCCGCAGGUGGCAAUGUAAGUCUGCUGUCAAAGCGUCUGGCUCAACCAGAUAAAGGCAGUGGAAACUACAUAGCUAGAGUAAGGUAGGGGUAGAGGGAAUUCCUGGUGUAGCGGUGAAAUGCGUAGAGAUCGGAAAGAACACCAACGGCGAAGGCACUCUGCUGGGCCGACACUGACACUGAGAGACGAAAGCUAGGGGAGCGAAUGGG
rnacentral:rRNA from 1 species